GAUGAACGCUGGCGGCGUGCCUAAUACAUGCAAGUCGAGCGAACAGACGAGGAGCUUGCUCCUCUGACGUUAGCGGCGGACGGGUGAGUAACACGUGGAUAACCUACCUAUAAGACUGGGAUAACUUCGGGAAACCGGAGCUAAUACCGGAUAAUAUAUUGAACCGCAUGGUUCAAUAGUGAAAGACGGUUUUGCUGUCACUUAUAGAUGGAUCCGCGCCGCAUUAGCUAGUUGGUAAGGUAACAGCUUACCAAGGCAACGAUGCGUAGCCGACCUGAGAGGGUGAUCGGCCACACUGGAACUGAGACACGGUCCAGACUCCUACGGGAGGCAGCAGUAGGGAAUCUUCCGCAAUGGGCGAAAGCCUGACGGAGCAACGCCGCGUGAGUGACGAAGGUCUUCGGAUCGUAAAACUCUGUUAUUAGGGAAGAACAAAUGUGUAAGUAACUAUGCACGUCUUGACGGUACCUAAUCAGAAAGCCACGGCUAACUACGU
rnacentral:rRNA from 1 species